CUAUGAUUGGUUUAGUCUGCACAUUAUGCAAUGUAUAACCCAAUCAUGGAUGGAUACGCGUAAUGCGCACAUAAAGACACAUCCGUGAAUUCGAUUAUCUGGCCCGGGUUGGUCCCUACCCCAUUGAAGUUUACAUUUAAAAUAGUUCAAGAGCGACUGCCCCUAAAAAAACAGCGAUGUGGCAUUGAUAUGAGUCAAACAUUUAUUCUAGUGUCAAACUUGACUACAAAGUGUUAAAAUAAUAAUUUUGUUCAUGAAGUCAGUCUUGUCUGAAACCGAGUUUAGAACCUCGGGGCAUCACACCGAGUAAAUGAAGGUUGGGUUUCGAUUACAAUUAUGUCAAUAAAUCAUGCCCCUUUUGUCAAACUCCACGUGUAAAUUGCCCCUCCCACUUCGUUUCCUUUCAUGGAUUGAAACUCAAUUGUUUCUUCGUCCUAAACCAAAGCGAUCAUGGCCGUUUGAGACUGAAAAGCCCUAUACGGAUUCACCAUGCAAUGCAUGCUUUCAGCUAGGUUGAAGGUGGGUAUAUUUUAAGGAUGCACACCAAACAACUAUGGUUUGCAUGCCCUGCAGAAGGACUCCAUCAUGCAAGUUUUAUUCCGUUGGUUCCCAGUGGAUGUCAGUAUACCGGCCGACCAUAGACUGCUGGUUAUGUACGGGCAUAAUUGGGUGCCAGACUGAUCCCGUGGUCAUGAACGGAUGCUGGGACCUACCAGAAGGAGCAACGGUGGGCUUGUCAGGCAAGACCUCAGAAUAAGUGUUUCACAACAAGUACUCUUGUGACACCUCAUCCAUUGUUGCCAGUCUCCCUCAACUCUGAUGAAAAGGACAUGCCGUCAUGAGGCCUCUGACCGUGAGUUACUGCCCUGAUGACACAGAUGGCUUCAUUGACAGGCACUUCCAGUCAACACCACCUAAUAAGAUCAGGAAGUACAUUGGUUUAUGAGGAUUGGCUGCUGCAGUUGUUUGAGAGAUGUCCAGUUUGCAGCUGAACAUGCAGCAUAGAGAAGACAAGCAUCAUGCAGACAUGCCCUCACAGUGAGCAUUCCUAUGAAUAGAGCAGUUGUGGCUGACAAGUAUCCAACCAGCGACCUUCACUUGUCAGCGGCAACAGCUUUCACAGGAUCAUCAUUUGUACAAAUACAAACAAUUUCUGUAAACUGACAUUAGUUGUUGCUUAUUUUCUACUUCUUAGCUGCGUAUAAUGUCCAGGGCAUAACCUAGCCUGGUUGAACCAGCCUGAUCCCUGUGUUCACCAUUCUAUUUCACUUCAAAUUUUAUAUCUGAAGUGAAAUAGAAAAGGUGAAUGGAGCAAUCAGGAUAUUUCUACCAAGCUAAUCAUAACCACCAUUGGUAAUGUAAUCAGUGCUGUGUGUGUGUGACCGACCAGUAUCUUUGAGGGACCAGUAGCUGAUCUACGCUACUAUGUCCAUCAAUAGGGCUCUGGCAAAGACCUCACAUCUUGCCUGCUCACCAACAGUCUUUGAUGGGGAGAACAGAAUUAGGUUUAGGCUGACCUGUUUAAACUUCAACAUAGGUGAGAUCUGACACAAAUCCCCCUCUUCAAAGGGGGUGACACUCUAGACCCAAACUGCUACAGAUCUAUAUCUAUUCUACCCUGCCUUUAAGGUCUUUAAAAGCCAAGUUAACAAACAGAUUACCAACCA